rnacentral:rRNA from 1 species
ACUGGAGGGUAUUCCCUCCAGUAUACCAAGUUGAGCAUCUUUUUUCUCAUUCCUUCCGGAAUGGCCUAAAAAUCAAAAUCUUAUCAACUACGUUAUAAGAACCUUAAUUUCUCAGCUUGGCAGGACUACCCGCUGAACUUAAGCAUAUCAAUAAGCGGAGGAAAAGAAACCAACAGGGAUUGCCUCAGUAACGGCGAGUGAAGCGGCAAAAGCUCAAAUUUGAAAGCUUCGGCAUUGUAAUUUCAAGGAGGAGAAACAACUAUGAAGAAAAAGUUCAUUGGAAAAUGACGCCUUAGAGGGUGACAGCCCCGUAUCUUUUUGUUACUUUUCUCCUCCAAAGAGUCGAGUUGUUUGGGAAUGCAGCUCUAAUGGGUGGUAAAUUCCAUCUAAAGCUAAAUACUGGCGAGAGACCGAUAGCGAACAAGUACAGUGAUGGAAAGAUGAAAAGCACUUUGAAAAGAGAGUGAAAAAGUACGUGAAAUUGUUGGAAGGGAAGGGCUUGCAAGCAGACACGGUCUAACCGGGCCAGCAUCGUGUGCUCAGGUGUCAUAAAUCCAAAAGAAUGUAAGCUUCGGUGGUUAUAUCUUUCGGCAAUAGCACCCCGGGCGCACGAGGACCGCUAAUAGGAUGCUGGCGUAAUGGUUGCAAGCCGCCCGUCUUGAAACACGGACCAAGGAGUCUAACGUCCAUGCAAGUGUUUGGGUGUAAAACCCCAGCGCGGAAUGAAAGUAAAUGGUACGACCUCGCAAGAGGGCAGCACCGACCGACCUUGAAGUGCUCGGAUAGGUUUGAG